rnacentral:lncRNA from 1 species
UGAGAGUUGGGGACGGGACUCUGGACUGGGGUGCCCCUGAUGUCACAAACAGGAGCCCUGAAGCCCAGAACUUUCUUCAUAUGGUCCUUCAGCCAGAUCCAGAAAAACGGCCAUCUGCUUUUGAGUGCUUAGGCCACGAGUGGUUUCAGGUAAGAGGAAACGCAACAGGAACAGGAAUAGUCUGACGUGUUCAGUGCACUAAACUACUUAUACUUUGUAUCUGCAUUCAGGAUGAACAUGCAGGAGAAGAUACUGAUGAAAUUAACACAAAGAAUCUGAAAGCGUUCCUCUCAAAAAGAAAGUGGCAGCGAUCCUUGACUUGCAUUGGGUCAGUUCUCACAUUGAGGCCGAUCCCUGAGCUGCUGGAUGCUCCUCUCAGAGAGACCGCAGUGACAGUGACCCGUGAGCCACAGGAACACAGCAGCACCUCUCUCAGUAGUGGCUCCUCAUCUGAAUACGAUGAAGCAGACUCCUGGGACUUUUUCCGUCACUGUAGCCCGACUGAGGAGGAGGAAGAAACAG